UUUAAAGUCAGGCCUGCUCAAUGAAUAUAUUUAAAUAGCUGCAGUAUAUUGACUGUACAAAGGUAGCAUAAUCAUUAGUUUUUUAAUUGAAAGCUGGAAUGAAGGGUUUAAUGAAAAAAUUGCUGUCUCUUAAUAAAUUUAUAGAAUUUUAUUUUUAAGUGAAAAAGCUUAAAUUAAUUAAAAAGACGAGAAGACCCUAUAGAGUUUAAUUUUUUAGAUUAAAUAAUAUUUUUGGAUAUUUUGGUUUUAUUUUUCAAGAAAAUUUUAUUGGGGUGAUAAUUAAAUUUAUAAAACUUUAAAUUUUUAAUCCAUAUAUUAAUGAAUAAUUGAUCCUAGUUUAGGAUUAAAAGAAUAAAUUACCUUAGGGAUAACAGCGUAAUUUUUUUUGAGAGUUCAAAUCGAAAAAAAAGAUUGCGACCUCGAUGUUGGAUUAAAAUUAAAUUAGGGUGCAGAAGUUCUAAUUUUAAGUCUGUUCGACUUUUAAAAUUUUACA
rnacentral:rRNA from 1 species